AGGAAUCCGGCUCCAUAUGCUAAUCCUCAAUGGAAUUCCGCGUUGCACGCCCGCUGCAGAUCACGAGAUCUCGACGUCGCGACGCCCUUGACAUGGAUACGGCAAGGCGAGCGAGACCGCGGCGUCUCUUAGCGCUUUCAUACGACUCAUACCGCGCGUUAAUAUGUUGUUUGUACGAGGAAAUUCGCCCCCCUUCCCUAUAAAACUCGGUGGACAUCCGUGUCGAGACUGAGUAAACCCCCCGAAGAGCACGCGCUAGUGUAAAACGUUAAUCCUGUUUUGUUAUCAGGACCUUCCAACGAUACUCCGAAAAUCAUGUACUUCAUACCCCAAAUCGCCGGUAUUCUAUUGGCCAUCAACGUAGUGAAGAGCCUUCCUAUCAUAACCCAGUAUGACUUGAUACAAUCACCGACGUUUUUCACAGCUCAACCACUUCAAACACAGUCGUUACCUGGAAUACUCUACCCAGAAGAACAGCCCAAGUCAAUUGCUCACCCAGCUGUUGUCCAGAAUGCUGAGGCUGAAUCUCAUUAUCCUCAAGAGUUAUUGAAUAACCAGUACAAGAACCCAGAGGUAGCAGCUAGAUUGGCAAAAGCAUCUUGGUUUACUAAUAAGGAGUUCCCAGUAUACAACCGAGAAGCGGAAAAGAUUCCCAGACAGAAAAUUUACGAAAUUGUUGAUAGAAUAGUGAAUCACUGAUGAUAUUUUCUGUGCGGGUAUUGAGAUCUUGUAAAUAUUGUGAUAAAUAUUAUAAUUUAUAAAUAAAUCUGAAAUCAUAAGUUGGUCCUCCCAAAUCUCAAA